rnacentral:rRNA from 1 species
UACAGAGGGUGCGAGCGUUAAUCGGAGUGACUGGGCGUAAAGGGCGCGCAGGCGGUCAGAUUAGUCUGAUGUGAAAGACCUGGGCUUAACCUGGGAUGUGCAUUGGAAACGGUCUGGCUAGAGUAUGAGAGAGGGAAGUGGAAUUUCCGGUGUAGCGGUGAAAUGCGUAGAUAUCGGGAAGAACACUCGUGGCGAAGGCGACUUUCUGGCUCAAAACUGACGCUGAGGCGCGAUAGCGUGGGGAGCAAACAGG